AUGAACGCUGGCGGCGUGCCUCAUACAUGCACGUCGAGCGAACAGAUGAGGAGCUUGCUCCUCUGACGUUAGCGGCGGACGGGUGAGUAACACGUGGAUAACCUACCUAUAAGACUGGGAUAACUUCGGGAAACCGGAGCUAAUACCGGAUAAUAUAUUGAACCGCAUGGUUCAAUAGUGAAAGACGGUUUUGCUGUCACUUAUAGAUGGAUCCGCGCCGCAUUAGCUAGUUGGUAAGGUAACGGCUUACCAAGGCAACGAUGCGUAGCCGACCUGAGAGGGUGAUCGGCCACACUGGAACUGAGACACGGUCCAGACUCCUACGGGAGGCAGCAGUAGGGAAUCUUCCGCAAUGGGCGAAAGCCUGACGGAGCAACGCCGCGUGAGUGAUGAAGGUCUUCGGAUCGUAAAACUCUGUUAUUAGGGAAGAACAAAUGUGUAAGUAACUAUGCACGUCUUGACGGUACCUAAUCAGAAAGCCACGGCUAACUACGU
rnacentral:rRNA from 1 species